AGUAGGGGGAGUUGCCAAGUUCAAACCUCUCUUGGGCCAAGUAGAGCAGUUAGUAUGUGUUUCUGUGUCUGUCUUUUCUGCCCUCGAGCCCUGAAUGAGAAAGAGACUCUAGCUCCUCUUCUUCCCUUGUGCUGACUCCGAGGAGGCUCUCUAAAGUCUCCUUGGAAGCUUUGGUCCAAGGAGGGUCACAUCUGCAAGUGUCCAGGCAGGGGACAGAAACCACACUAGUAAUUUGAAGACAAUUUAAACUGAGUGGUGCCUGAUCACCUCCAGGUCCCAGGCCCUGCAUGUGGACCUGCACAGGAAGAGCUAUGGGAGAAGAAGGAAUCUCUGGGAGCAGCCCAGGAAGCACUGAGCAUCCAGCUCCAGCCUAAGGAGACCCAGCCUUUCCCAAAGAGUGCCUUACUAUUCUUAUCUCUUAGAACAGGUAUAUUUACAUUUUCUGUCAGUUGUUACAGAAGAUGGCCCAGAGCCCAAGGACAAAGGAUCAUUGCCACAACCACACAUUACUGAAGUGGAAUCACAGGUGUUCUCAGAAAAACUUGCUACUGACACCUCUACAUUUGAAGCUACCUCUGAGGGUACCUUAGAACUGCAGCAGAGAAAUCCCAAAGCGGAGAGACUGAGGUGGUCCCCUGCCCAGGGGAAAAGUUUCAGGCAGAUGGUUGUCACCCAUAAGGAAAUUCCCACAGGGAAGAAAGACCAUGAAUGUAGUGAAUGUGGU
rnacentral:sRNA from 1 species